UACGGAGGGUGCAAGCGUUGUCCGGAAUCACUGGGCGUAAAGGGCGCGUAGGUGGCGCGACAAGUCAGUGGUGAAAGUUCGACGCUCAACGUCGAAUCGGCCACUGAUACUGUUGGGCUUGAGCACUGUAGAGGCUAAUGGAAUUCCGGGUGUAGCGGUGGAAUGCGUAGAGAUGUGGAGGAACACCGAUGGCGAAGGCAGGUCUCUGGGCCACUACUGACGCUGAGACACGAAAGCGUGGGUAGCAAACAGG
rnacentral:rRNA from 1 species